rnacentral:rRNA from 1 species
CCUACGGGAGGCAGCAGUGAGGAAUAUUGGUCAAUGGGCGCUAGCCUGAACCAGCCAAGUAGCGUGAAGGAUGACUGCCCUAUGGGUUGUAAACUUCUUUUAUAUGGGAAUAAAGUGCAGUAUGUAUACUGCUUUGCAUGUACCUUAUGAAUAAGGAUCGGCUAACUCCGUGCCAGCAGCCGCGGUAAUACGGAGGAUUCGAGCGUUAUCCGGAUUUAUUGGGUUUAAAGGGAGCGUAGGCGGGUUGUUAAGUCAGUUGUGAAAGUUUGCGGCUCAACCGUAAAAUUGCAGUUGAUACUGGCAUCCUUGAGUACAGUAGAGGUAGGCGGAAUUCGUGGUGUAGCGGUGAAAUGCGUAGAUAUCACGAAGAACUCCGAUUGCGAAGGCAGCCUGCUGGACUGUAACUGACGCUGAGGCUCGAAAGUGUGGGUAGCAAACAGGAUUAGAUACCCCUGUAGUC